rnacentral:rRNA from 1 species
CAUGGUUUUUAUAUUAAAGAUUCAUCGGUAAGGGAUGGGCAUGCGUAGGAUUAGUUAGUUGGCGGGGUAACGGCCCACCAAGACUGUGAUCCUUAGGGGUUCUGAGAGGAAGGUCCCCCACACUGGCACUGAGAUACGGGCCAGACUCCUACGGGAGGCAGCAGUAGGGAAUAUUGGGCAAUGGGCGGGAGCCUGACCCAGCCAUGCCGCGUGCAGGAAGAAGGCGUUAUGCGUUGUAAACUGCUUUUAUACGGGAAGAAAAGGCCCAUGCGUGGGACAUUGCCGGUACCGUAUGAAUAAGCACCGGCUAACUCCGUGCCAGCAGCCGCGGUAAUACGGAGGGUGCAAGCGUUGUCCGGAUUUAUUGGGUUUAAAGGGUGCGUAGGCGGCCCGUUAAGUCAGCGGUGAAAGUCUGUGGCUCAACCAUAGAAGCGCCGUUGAUACUGAUGGGCUUGAGUGCCGUAUGGGUACAUGGAAUUGAUGGUGUAGCGGUGAAA